rnacentral:rRNA from 1 species
UACGUAGGGUGCGAGCGUUAAUCGGAAUUACUGGGUGUAAAGCGCGCGCAGGCGGCGGUGCUGGCCCGGCGUGAAAGCCCCCGGCUCAACCGGGGAGGGUCGUCGGGGACCGCACCGCUUGAGGGCGGUAGGGGCUGGUGGAAUGCCUGGUGUAGUGGUGAAAUGCGUAGAGAUCAGGCGGAACACCCGUGGCGAAGGCGGCCAGCUGGGCCGUCCCUGACGCUGAGGCGCGGAAGGCGUGGGGAGCGAACGGGAUUGAGAAACCCU